rnacentral:rRNA from 1 species
ACGCACGCUGGCGGCGUGCUUAACACAUGCCAGUCGAACGGAAAGGCCCUGCUUUUGUGGGGUGCUCGAGUGGCGAACGGGUGAGUAACACGUGGGUAACCUGCCCUUGACUUUGGGAUAACUUCAGGAAACUGGGGCUAAUACCGGAUAGGAGCUCCUGCUGCAUGGUGGGGGUUGGAAAGUUUCGGCGGUUGGGGAUGGACUCGCGGCUUAUCAGCUUGUUGGUGGGGUAGUGGCUUACCAAGGCUUUGACGGGUAGCCGGCCUGAGAGGGUGACCGGCCACAUUGGGACUGAGAUACGGCCCAGACUCCUACGGGAGGCAGCAGUGGGGAAUAUUGCACAAUGGGCGGAAGCCUGAUGCAGCAACGCCGCGUGCGGGAUGACGGCCUUCGGGUUGUAAACCGCUUUCGCCUGUGACGAAGCGUGAGUGACGGUAAUGGGUAAAGAAGCACCGGCUAACUACGUG